rnacentral:rRNA from 1 species
UCCGUAGGUGAACUGCGGAAGGAUCAUUAAUGAAUUUUAGGACGUUCUUUUUAGAGUCCGACCCUUUCAUUUUCUUACACUGUGCACACACUUCUUUUUUACACACACUUUUAACACCUUAGUAUAAGAAUGUAAUAGUCUCUUAAUUGAGCAUAAAUAAAAACAAAACUUUCAGCAACGGAUCUCUUGGCUCUCGCAUCGAUGAAGAACGCAGCGAAUUGCGAUAAGUAAUGUGAAUUGCAGAAUUCAGUGAAUCAUCGAAUCUUUGAACGCACCUUGCACUCUUUGGUAUUCCGAAGAGUAUGUCUGUUUGAGUGUCAUGAAACUCUCAACCCCCCUAUUUUGUAAUGAGAUGGGUGUGGGCUUGGAUUAUGGUUGUCUGUCGGCGUAAUUGCCGGCUCAACUGAAAUACACGAGCAACCCUAUUGAAAUAAACGGUUUGACUUGGCGUAAUAAUUAUUUCGCUAAGGACGUUUUCUUCAAAUAUAAGAGGUGCUUCUAAUUCGCUUCUAAUAGCAUUUAAGCUUUAGACCUCAAAUCAGUCAGGACUACCCGCUGAACUUAAGCAUAUCAAUAAGCGGAGGA